UACGUAGGGUGCGAGCGUUAAUCGGAAUUACUGGGCGUAAAGCGUGCGCAGGCGGUUGGUUAAGUCUGAUGUGAAAGCCCCGGGCUCAACUUGGGAAUGGCAUUGGAAACUGGCUGGCUAGAGUGUGGCAGAGGGGGGUGGAAUUCCUGGUGUAGCGGUGAAAUGCGCAGAUAUCAGGAGGAACACCUAGUGCGAAGGCAGCUCGCUGGGACGUAACUGACGCUGAGACGCGAAAGCGUGGGGAGCAAACAGG
rnacentral:rRNA from 1 species